UGUCUGUGGUGCACUCUCAAGACCUGUGAUGGGGCUGAGGGUGGCCACACAGUUGUGCAGACCAUGGCCUCUGGCUUUAUACAGAGGCUGGCCUUAGACACAUGACCUCUUUGAAAUCUGGUUGACUUGUAGGGACAACACAUCAACUUCAUCAAAUUGUGGGGCCUCAAAUGAGAUGAUAUGCCCAACUCAUCUCACACUGCCUGGCAGAGAGGAGGCGUUUGGUAAACAUUCUGUCCCUUCUAAAUGUGAGCACUGAACACACGAAGGACAAAAGUUGAUUCUAACUGCUGUGGGAUGUGACUUCGUGGGAGAACGUCUGACCAGCAGCAUGCAGAAUUCAAUCCCGGGUUUCCAUUAUUUAAGUACAGGGAUAAAUCCCAUGCUAUGCAGAGGAAAUUUAACCUUGAGUGGGAAUUGCCAUUGCUAGAGAUCCUAACUUUGAAUUUAAUCAUCUCUCUUACUGGAAACUCCAAAGCAGAAAGAGCUGUCAUCCUGGGGGAAAUGCUACUGUGGUAGAUAAUUUAGAGGGACAUAGCUUCUCACUCACCCAUUUCAGGUCUGUUACCCAUCUCUGCUAAAAGGCAGGAGCUCAGACAGAAGCCUGCUCUGAAGAAGGCAAUGAAACUAUAUGGGCUAUGGUUUGAGAAGAGAAGAAAAGCCCAAGGCAGGCUGCAUGAAAGAAAGAAGUCCAAGAAAAUCAUUAAAGUUGAGGCCAUUGGUGGGCAUGGAGCAGUUCACACUGGGCCCUCACUCAUAAUCAGUGGCUUCAGUGUGGAGGAACACACUGGAAAAGGAACUCGGAUGGAAAGGUAAAGUAAAAGAUGAUGGCAGUUUGGACUAGGGUGGCAGCAAGAAAGAAAGGAUGGUAACUGGGGGAAAUCGAUAGAUAGUAGACACUUGGGCUUGAAGAAUAAGCAGACUAGCAUGUUGCCUCUAGAGUGCAAUCUUUGCAGACAAAACACCUAGAGUAGCGAACCAAAAUAACAAAUAUUCUUGAAGGAAAAUGUUGUCAUAAGUAAUAUUGAAGUUUCUU
rnacentral:lncRNA from 1 species